rnacentral:rRNA from 1 species
AGAGCGAACGCUGGCGGCAGGCCUAACACAUGCAAGUCGAGCGCCCGUAGCAAUACGGGAGCGGCAGACGGGAGAGUAACACGUGGGAACGUACCCUUCAGUUCGGAAUAACCCAGGGAAACUUGGACUAAUACCGAAUACGUCCGUAAGGAGAAAGAUUUAUCGCUGAAGGAUCGGCCCGCGUCUGAUUAGCUUGUUGGUGAGGUAACGGCUCACCAAGGCGACGAUCAGUAGCUGGUCUGAGAGGAUGAUCAGCCUCACUGGGACUGAGACACGGCCCAGACUCCUACGGGAGGCAGCAGUGGGGAAUAUUGGACAAUGGGCGCAAGCCUGAUCCAGCCAUGCCGCGUGGAUGAUGAAGGCCCUAGGGUUGUAAAGUCCUUUCGGCGGGGAAGAUAAGUGACGGUACCAGCAGAAGAACGCCCGGCUAACUUCGUGCCAGGCGCCGC